AGAGUUUGAUCCUGGCUCAGAGCGAACGCUGGCGGCAGGCUUAACACAUGCAAGUCGAGCGGGCGUAGCAAUACGUCAGCGGCAGACGGGUGAGUAACGCGUGGGAACGUACCUUUUGGUUCGGAACAACACAGGGAAACUUGUGCUAAUACCGGAUAAGCCCUUACGGGGAAAGAUUUAUCGCCGAAAGAUCGGCCCGCGUCUGAUUAGCUAGUUGGUAAGGUAACGGCUUACCAAGGCGACGAUCUGUAACCGGCCUGAGAGGGCGGUCGGUCACACUGACACUGACAUACGGGUCAGACUCCUACGGGAGGCAGCAGUCGGGAAUUUUGGGCAAUGGGCGAAAGCCUGACCCAGCAACGCCGCGUGAAGGAUGAAAUCCCUCGGGAUGUAAACUUCGCAAGAUUGGGAAGAAUUAGUAGGGGUUAAUACCCCCUAUGAUGACGGUACCUUUUGUAAGCUCCGGCUAACUCCGUGCCAGCAGCCGCGGUAAUACGGGGGGAGCAAGCGUUGUUCGGAUUUACUGGGCGUAAAGGGCGCGUAGGCGGUCAGCACAAGUCAGUUGUGAAAUCUCCGGGCUUAACUCGGAACGGUCAACUGAUACUGUGCGACUAGAGUGCAGAAGGGGCAACUGGAAUUCUCGGUGUAGCGGUGAAAUGCGUAGAUAUCGAGAGGAACACCUGCGGCGAAGGCGGAUUGCUGGGCUGACACUGACGCUGAGGCGCGAAAGCCAGGGGAGCGAACGGGAUUAGAUACCCCCGUAGUCC
rnacentral:rRNA from 1 species